rnacentral:rRNA from 1 species
AAGUGUUAAGUCUUUAAUUUUGAAUCCUCAGCUUACUUUGUAAGUUAAGGCUAGAUUUAAACAAAAAUUAAAGAUUGUAUUAAAAUUGAAUAAAGCUUUGUUUAUAUACCGAUAAUGACGGUAUAUAUAUUGUGUCUUGACCAAUUACGUGCCAGCAGUCGCGGUAAUACGUAAGAGACUAGUGUUAUUCAUCUUAAUUAGGUUUAAAGGGUACUUAGACGGUUAAUAUAUCAUAUAUGAUAGUACUUAACUAGAGUUUUAUGUAAGAAGGCAGUACUUGAGGUGGAGAGAUGAAAUUCAAUGAUACCAAAGGGACUCGGUAAAGGCGCAGGCAGCCUUUUAUGUAAUAACUGACGUUGAAGGACGAAGGCACAGAUCACAAAAAGGAAUAGUAUCCCCAGUAGUCUUUGCAGUCAAUGAUGAAUGCCAUCGGUUAGAUUUAAGAUUUCGAGUAUUUAUUCCUCCGUAAAGAAUAAGUGUCGAAACGAUAUUUAGUCUAUAAAUGAAAGUGCAAGCAUUUCACCUCAAGAGUAAU